ensembl:lncRNA
GACAGACACUGGUGUAGUUGGAUAUGGGACAGACAGAGAGACACAGACACUGGUGUAGUUGGAUAUGGGACAGACAGACACUGGUGUAGUUGGAUAUGGGACAGACAGACACUGACAGACACUGGUGUAGUUGGAUAUGGGACAGACAGACACUGGUGUAGUUGGAUAUGGGACAGACAGAGAGACACAGACACUGGUGUAGUUGCCUAUGGGACACUAGACUAACACCCUCCAUGUGAUUGUCUGAAAUGACACCCUAUUCCCUACAUAGUGCAUAGGGCCCAUAGGGCUCUGGUCAAAAGUAGUGCACUAUGCAGGGAAUAGGGUGCUACGGCCAUAGGGCUCUGGUCAAAAGUAGUGCACUAUGCAGGGAAUAGGGGGCUGUUUCGGACACCGCUUGUCUGUCUGUGGAGUGUAAAGAUGUGUUGAUUCUAAUCACAAUCUUUUUGUAAAUUGCAUCAAAAUGUUUAAAUGUCUCCAUCGGAUUUAAGUUAUUGUACAACUGGAAGAUGAUUGGCUGAUGUCUUAAUGAUCCUCUCAGGUGGUCACUGCUUUGAUUGGACGGGAUGAAAUGGUGCACAAUGAAGGUCCACCUCUGUGAAUGGCUGUUAUGUUGAUGGGGGCGGGUCUGACCUGCUCUCUCUCUCUGUUUCUAUUGGUCACAUUAGUGAUCCGUCUGUCUGUAACUGCAGCUACUGUCUCAAAAGGCCUCCUUUUGGUCGUUACUAGUUAAUACAGCCACAAAGUCAUAAUUAUGGCCAAACCCCGUCUAUUUCUAAAAUGUUUAUUCUUAAAAUCUGAUUUUAAACCUAACCACAAUGAUAACCUAAUACCUAACCUUAAAUGAAGACCAAAAAGCACAUGUUUGUUUUCAUGAAUUUUUUUACGAUAUAGCCAAUGCCCUGACUUUGUGGCUGUGAUACAGACAGGAAGUACACUAAACUACAGGAAGUGCCAGGUCACAUGACAGAACAAUUAUAGAAUGAAGUGCAGGUUCUAGAACCAUCUCUGGACCAGUUGGCCAUGUAGCUCCUGAUUUGAGGGUGGGGACGGACACUUGUUUAACACCAAUGCAUUCUAUUUUACCGUCAUUACGUCCCUAAUGGCACCGAUAUGCCCUCUGUAGUGCACUACUUUUGGCCAGACCACUGUCCAUAGGACCUUGCGGUAGACUAGCAUCCUGUUUAGGGGGUGUACUUGUACAUCAAGCUGCCUCACACUACAGAAACAGGAGAUAGACUAGCGUCCUGCCUCACUACAGAAACAGGAGAUAGACUAGUGUCCUGCCUCACUACAGAAACAGGAGAUAGACUAGUGUCCUGCCUCACUACAGAAACAGGAGAUAGACUAGUGUCCUGCCUCACACUACAGAAACAGGAGAUAGACUAGCAUCCUGCCUCACUACAGAAACAGGAGAUAGACUAGCAUCCUGCCUCACUACAGAAACAGGAGAUAGACUAGCGUCCUGU